rnacentral:rRNA from 1 species
GAACCUGCGGAGGGAUCCAUUACCGUAGAUUUCAACUCCCUAACCAUUCUGUGAACCUACCUAUCGUUGCUUCGGCGGACUCGCCCCAGCCCGGACGCGGACUGGACCAGCGGCCCGCCGGGGACCUCAAACUCUUGUAUUCCAGCAUCUUCUGAAUACGCCGCAAGGCAAAACAAAUGAAUCAAAACUUUCAACAACGGAUCUCUUGGCUCUGGCAUCGAUGAAGAACGCAGCGAAAUGCGAUAAGUAAUGUGAAUUGCAGAAUCCAGUGAAUCAUCGAAUCUUUGAACGCACAUUGCGACAUGCCAGCAUUCUAGCGGGCAUGCCUGUUCGAGCGUCAUUUCAACCCUAGACCUCCCCUGGGGGAGGUCGGCGUUGGGGACCGGCAGCACACCGCCGGCCCUGAAAUGGAGUAGCGGCCCGUCCGCGGCGACCUCUGCGUAGUAAUACAGCUCGCACCGGAACCCCGACGCAACCACGCCGUAAAACACCCAACUUCGGAACGCUGACCUCGAAGCUAACGGCUAGGACUACCCGCUGAAUUAAAGCAUAUAA